GAUGAACGCUGGCGGCGUGCCUAAUACAUGCAAGUCGAACGAAACUUCUUUAUCACCGAGUGCUUGCACUCACCGAUAAAGAGUUGAGUGGCGAACGGGUGAGUAACACGUGGGCAACCUGCCCAAAAGAGGGGGAUAACACUUGGAAACAGGUGCUAAUACCGCAUAACCAUAGUUACCGCAUGGUAACUAUGUAAAAGGUGGCUAUACUACCGCUUUUGGAUGGGCCCGCGGCGCAUUAGCUAGUUGGUAGGGUAAAGGCUUACCAAGGCAAUGAUGCGUAGCCGAAUUGAGAGGUUGAUCGGCCACAUUGGGACUGAGACACGGCCCAAACUCCUACGGGAGGCAGCAGUAGGGAAUCUUCCACAAUGGGCGAAAGCCUGAUGGAGCAACGCCGCGUGGGUGAAGAAGGUCUUCGGAUCGUAAAACCCUGUUGUUAGAGAAGAAAGUGCGUGAGAGUAACUGUUCACGUUUCGACGGUACCUAACCAGAAAGCCACGGCUAACUACGUG
rnacentral:rRNA from 1 species